rnacentral:lncRNA from 1 species
GGUAUACACAUUAUAAGUUUUUGUGUCGGUCCAAUAAAGCCUACACAAUAUAACAUUACACGUGGUCCUUCAUUCAACACUAUCAUAAACUACUUUUGCUCUAAAAAUCCUAAUUGCGAUAGUGAUGUUGCUCGUUUUUGGAAUCUCAAUCUUGAAUAAUUAAUUUUGGAAUUUUUCUCGUUGUAAAGUUUACGUCAGACUGUACAAGGAACAGCCUCCUCAUGUGAGGGUGCUGCGAAUGGUGCCGUGCAUACGGCAACGUCCUUAAUUUUGGGAUGAUGAAGUCGGCACACAUGUCGGUACUUAAAAGUGUAAGAGGGGACCAAGGGUUUGUUUUGGCUUUUUCCAAUUC